rnacentral:lncRNA from 1 species
UUUUUUUUUGGGGGGGGGAGGAGGGGUGGUGUUUAUAUAACAGAAAUAUUGAAGGUCGAAUAUACCCCCUUUUCCAAGCAUAUAGUUAAAGGGCAGUGUUCUUUUCUAUAUAUUGGACAAAACUGACUGACAUCUAUUGCACUGCUUGUCAUAUUAAAACUAAUUAGUAAAACUAAUUACCCACCAACUAUCAUGACUGCCACGGUCGAUUGAUAAAAAGCGAAGAGUUAUAUUCUAUUUUUAUAACAUUACACUCUAAAAUAUUUUCCAUUCAUAAAACAAUCUUUGACCGAAUUUCGUAACAUGUCCAGUACCCGUUGAACGUGGAUACUGAUCUUUACUUUUGUGUACCUUACCAUGCCCUGCCCCUUUUGGUGACGUAGUACCAAUCACUCAAGUUUAUAAUGAUCUCAUAAAAAGAAAGGGAAUUUCCUGAUUAAAUGCCCA